rnacentral:rRNA from 1 species
UACAGAGGUCCCAAGCGUUGUUCGGAUUCACUGGGCGUAAAGGGUGCGUAGGUGGCCAGGUAAGUUUGGUGUGAAAGCUCGGAGCUUAACUCCGAAAAGUCAUUGAAUACUAUCUGGCUGGAGGGUCGGAGGGGAGACUGGAAUUCUCGGUGUAGCAGUGAAAUGCGUAGAUAUCGAGAGGAACACCAGUGGCGAAGGCGAGUCUCUGGACGACUCCUGACACUGAGGCACGAAAGCUAGGGGAGCAAACGGG